rnacentral:piRNA from 1 species
UGGGUACGUCUUUUAAUUUAA